GUUUGUAAUGCUUGGGGAUUCCAGCAACUAUUUUCACUAUUUUGUAUCUUCAAGUGAGAGAAAGGGUAUGUUGAUAGCAUUUUGUUUAUUUUACUUUCUUUUAUGGUGAUGCCUUUUUUCUUUACAUAUUUUAAAUAAAAAUUGCAAAUAUUUAAGGUGUCCAACUCGAUGAGUUGGUGGCUCAGACGGUAAAGAAUCUGCCUGCAGUGCAGGAGACCGGGGUUUGAUCUCUGGGUUGGGAAGGUCUCUGGAAAAGGGAAUGGCUACCCACUCCAGUAUUCUUGCCUAGAGAAUUCCAUAGAGAGAGGAGCCUGGUGGACUACAGUCCAUGGGUCACAAAGAGUCGGACACGACUGAGCAACUCACACACACACACACACACACACACACACACACACACACACAAUGCAGUUAAUAUGCAGCUAUUAGUAAUAUGGAGUUAAUAAUAAUAAUGUAUCGAUAUUGGUUCAUUAAUUGUAACAAAUGUGCUAUGUAAGAGGUUAAUAAUUAAGGAAACUGAGUGCAAAGCAUAUGAGAACUCUGUAUUAGGCUGAAAUUUUCUGUAAAUAUAAACUCAUUUUUAAAGAAAAAAAUACUGGAGAGAGGAGCCAAGUCUAGGUUCUCUAAGAGACCGGAGAGGAAAGGGCUCCCGGCCCGGCGAGGAACCAGCUUCAGAAAGCAGGAGGAAGGAGGCACAGGCUGGAUACUUCUGUGGGCGGUGGGCAGGAAGUUGAGAGUUCACAUCCGGUGGUCUCAAUGUUUCCUUUAUGACGCAGAAGCACACUGGAGAAUCCCAGGAGUCAGCAAAGAAACCUGCCUGGUUUUGUUCAAAUCCAUCAUUUUCCAAAUGUGUUUAUCCAGAGAAUGUCUGUUGCUGUAGUUAACAACAGUAACACCCACAGAACGAACUCUGUGAACUGCUUGGGUUGACACUGCCAUCAUGGCCGGGAGGGCGACAGAUACCACAACCUGCAGGAUGUCAAGAGUCAGUGAGCCCACGGAUCGCCCAGCUCAGAGGCCUGAGAGAUCUAGCCCUGGGAGACUGGGUGAAGGAGGAGCCAGGACCUGGGGUCCCUGAGCCGGAAUUGUGGCAGGAUGUAUGUGGCCACCCCGCCGAAUUUAGGCAGGUGACCACUGGGUCCCCUCUCUCUGCGUCCCACCCUCCUCACAGUCCCAGCUCCGGGUCAUAGCCCAUAAAUCUCCUUCACACAGAGCACGGUAAAUCAGGGGUGUGUAGGAGACCCCCCAGCUGCCUGCAUUCUCCCUUCUGCUUUUGGAGAGGACAGAGGAGCAGGAAGCCCCUAGGACGGGGUGGGGUGUGACU
ensembl:lncRNA